CUGGAAACGGCGUCUAAUACUGGAUAUGUGACGUGAUCGCAUGGUCUGCGUCUGGAAAGAAUUUCGGUUGGGGAUGGGCUCGCGGCCUAUCAGCUUGUUGGUGAGGUAAUGGCUCACCAAGGCGUCGACGGGUAGCCGGCCUGAGAGGGUGACCGGCCACACUGGGACUGAGACACGGCCCANACUCCUACGGGAGGCAGCAGUGGGGAAUAUUGCACAAUGGGCGCAAGCCUGAUGCAGCAACGCCGCGUGAGGGAUGACGGCCUUCGGGUUGUAAACCUCUUUUAGCAGGGAAGAAGCGAAAGUGACGGUACCUGCAGAAAAAGCGCCGGCUAACUACGUGCCAGCAGCCGCGGUAAUACGUAGGGCGCAAGCGUUAUCCGGAAUUAUUGGGCGUAAAGAGCUCGUAGGCGGUUUGUCGCGUCUGCUGUGAAAUCCGGAGGCUCAACCUCCGGCCUGCAGUGGGUACGGGCAGACUAGAGUGCGGUAGGGGAGAUUGGAAUUCCUGGUGUAGCGGUGGAAUGCGCACAUAUCAGGAGGAACACCGAUGGCGAAGGCAGAUCUCUGGGCCGUAACUGACGCUGAGGAGCGAAAGGGUGGGGAGCAAACAGGCUUAGAUACCCUGGUAGUCCACCCCGUAAACGUUGGGAACUAGUUGUGGGGUCCAUUCCACGGAUUCCGGGACGCAGCUAACGCAUUAAGUUCCCCGCCUGGGGAGUACGGCCGCAAGGCUAAAACUCAAAGGAAUUGACGGGGACCCGCACAAGCGGCGGAGCAUGCGGAUUAAUUCGAUGCAACGCGAAGAACCUUACCAAGGCUUGACAUAUACGAGAACGGGCCAGAAAUGGUCAACUCUUUGGACACUCGUAAACAGGUGGUGCAUGGUUGUCGUCAGCUCGUGUCGUGAGAUGUUGGGUUAAGUCCCGCAACGAGCGCAACCCUCGUUCUAUGUUGCCAGCACGUAAUGGUGGGAACUCAUGGGAUACUGCCGGGGUCAACUCGGAGGAAGGUGGGGAUGACGUCAAAUCAUCAUGCCCCUUAUGUCUUGGGCUUCACGCAUGCUACAAUGGCCGGUACAAAGGGCUGCAAUACCGCGAGGUGGAGCGAAUCCCAAAAAGCC
rnacentral:rRNA from 1 species